rnacentral:rRNA from 1 species
GAUUGAACGCUGGCGGCAGGCCUAACACAUGCAAGUCGAGCGGUAGAGAGGUGCUUGCAUCUCUUGAGAGCGGCGGACGGGUGAGUAAUGCCUAGGAAUCUGCCUAGUGGUGGGGGAUAACGUUCGGAAACGGACGCUAAUACCGCAUACGUCCUACGGGAGAAAGCGGGGACCGGUCGGUCCGUCC